rnacentral:rRNA from 1 species
CAGUGGGGAUACUUGGCCAAUGGGCGCAAGCCUGAUCCAGCCAUGCCGCGUGUGUGAUGAAGGCCUUAGGGUCGUAAAGCACUUUCGCCAGAGAUGAUAAUGACAGUAUCUGGUAAAGAAGCCCCGGCUAWCUCCGUGCCAGCAAGCCGC